rnacentral:rRNA from 1 species
UACGGGGGGGGCAAGCGUUGUUCGGAAUUACUGGGCGUAAAGGGCUCGUAGGCGGCCAACUAAGUCAGACGUGAAAUCCCUCGGCUUAACCGGGGAACUGCGUCUGAUACUGGCGGGCUCGAGGGAGGUAGGGGGAAGCGGAAUUCCCGGUGUAGUGGUGGAAUGCGUAGAUAUCGGGAGGAACACCAGUGGCGAAGGCGGCUUCCUGGACCUGUUCUGACGCUGAGGAGCGAAAGCGUGGGGAGCGAUCCGG